rnacentral:rRNA from 1 species
UACAGAGGUCUCAAGCGUUGUUCGGAUUCAUUGGGCGUAAAGGGUGCGUAGGCGGCGCGGUAAGUCGGGUGUGAAAUCUUGGAGCUUAACUCCGAAACUGCAUUCGAUACUGCCGUGCUUGAGGACUGGAGAGGAGACUGGAAUUUACGGUGUAGCGGUGAAAUGCGUAGAUAUCGUAAGGAAGACCAGUGGCGAAGGCGGGUCUCUGGACAGUUCCUGACGCUGAGGCACGAAGGUCAAGGGAGCAAACGGG